AGAGUUUGAUCAUGGCUCAGAACGAACGCUGGCGGCGCGCCUAAUACAUGCAAGUCGAGCGAGAAGGUGUAGCAAUACACUUGUAAAGCGGCAACGGGUGAGGAAUGCAUGGGUAACCUACCCUCGAGUGGGGAAUAACUAGCCGAAAGGUUAGCUAAUACCGCAUACGUUUCCGGAACUUCGGUUUCGGAAAGAAAGCAAUACCGUGGGUAUUGCGCUCCUGGAUGGGCUCAUGUCCUAUCAGCUUGUUGGUGAGGUAACGGCUCACCCAAGGCUUCGACGGGUAGCUGGUCUGAGAGGACGAUCAGCCACACUGGCACUGCGACACGGGCCGGACUCCUACGGGAGGCAGCAGUAAGGAAUAUUGCGCAAUGGACGAAAGUCUGACGCAGCGACGCCGCGUGGGGGAUGAAGGUCUUCGGAUUGUAAACCCCUUUCGGGAGGGAAGAUGGAGUGGGUAACCACUUGGACGGUACCUCCAGAAGCAGCCACGGCUAACUUCGUG
rnacentral:rRNA from 1 species